GGCUUCAUAGCUCAGUGGUAGAGCGUUUGCACCGGAAAAUUGAAUCGCAAUGGUCAUGGGUUCGAAUCCCGUUGGAGCCU